ACCGUCCUUAUCUUGGGGUUGCGCUACUGUUCAAUGAACGUAUAGUGAGAACAGUACUGCUAACGCCUACACAACACUUGAGCAUCCCUGGGGUCUAGGCCCCAACGUGGUGCAAUUUUUGGAAU
rnacentral:ncRNA from 11 species